CACGUAGGGUGCGAGCGUUGUCCGGAAUUAUUGGGCGUAAAGAGCUCGUAGGCGGUGUGUCGCGUCGGCCGUGAAAACCUGCAGCUUAACUGUGGGCUUGCGGUCGAUACGGGCAUCACUGGAGUUCGGCAGGGGAGACUGGAAUUCCUGGUGUAGCGGUGAAAUGCGCAGAUAUCAGGAGGAACACCGGUGGCGAAGGCGGGUUGCUAGGCUGACACUGACGCUGAAGCGCGAAAGCCAGGGGAGCAAACGGG
rnacentral:rRNA from 1 species